UUAAAGAGUGCGUAACAGCUCACUAGUCGAGCGAUUGGGCGUGGAUAAUAAUCGGGCAUAAAACAUACUACCGAAGCUAUGAGCUCGAAAGAGCGGUAGGAGAGCAUUCUAACAACGCUGAAGGUGUACCGUAAGGUAUGCUGGAGUGGUUAGAAAAGAAAAUGUAGGCAUAAGUAACGAUAAUGCGGGCGAGAAACCCGCACACCGAUAGACCAAGGUUUCCCCGGCAAUGCUAAUCAGCCGGGGGUUAGUCAGGACCUAAGGCGAACCCGAAGGGGGUAGUCGAUGGCCAACGGGUUAAUAUUCCCGUACCACCUUUAUUUUCGAUGGGGUGACGGAGUAGUGAAAGCACCGCGUACUGACGGAAUAGUACGUUGAAGGGUGUAGGUAUUGGCAGAGUAGGAAAAUCCGCUCAGCUAGCUGAACCUGAUAGUACCACAAUGCUACGGCAGCGUGGAUAGUGUGCCUAAACAGACUUCCAAGAAAAACCUCUAAGGUUAGGAUAAAGGUGCCUGUACCGGAAACCGACACAGGUAGUCAAGGAGAGAAUCCUGAGGUGCUCGAGUGAUUCAUGGCUAAGGAACUAGGCAAAAUGGCCCUGUAACUUCGGGAGAAGGGGCCCCCCCAAGUGAUUGGGGGGCGCAGUGAAAAGGCCCAGGCGACUGUUUAUCAAAAACA
rnacentral:rRNA from 16 species